rnacentral:rRNA from 1 species
AUUGAACGCUGGCGGCAUGCCUUACACAUGCAAGUCGAACGGCAGCACGGAGCUUGCUCUGGUGGCGAGUGGCGAACGGGUGAGUAAUAUAUCGGAACGUACCCAAGAGUGGGGGAUAACGUAGCGAAAGUUACGCUAAUACCGCAUACGAUCUAAGGAUGAAAGCAGGGGACCGCAAGGCCUUGUGCUCCUGGAGCGGCCGAUAUCUGAUUAGCUAGUUGGUGAGGUAAAGGCUCACCAAGGCAUCGAUCAGUAGCUGGUCUGAGAGGACGCACAGCCACACUGGAACUGAGACACGGUCCAGACUCCUACGGGAGGCAGCAGUGGAGAAUUUUGGAACAUGGGGGCAACCCUGAUCCAGCAAUGCCGCGUGAGUGAAGAAGGCCUUCGGGUUGUAAAGCUCUUUUGUCAGGGAAGAAACGGUCGUGGCUAAUAUCCAUGGCUAAUGACGGUACCUGAAGAAUAAGCCCCGGCUAACUACGUGCCAGCCGCCGCCGUAAUAC